GAUGAACGCUGGCGGCGUGCCUAAUACAUGCAAGUCGAGCGAAUGGAUUAAGAGCUUGCUCUUAUGAAGUUAGCGGCGGACGGGUGAGUAACACGUGGGUAACCUGCCCAUAAGACUGGGAUAACUCCGGGAAACCGGGGCUAAUACCGGAUAACAUUUUGAACCGCAUGGUCCGAAAUUGAAAGGCGGCUUCGGCUGUCACUUAUGGAUGGACCCGCGUCGCAUUAGCUAGUUGGUGAGGUAACGGCUCACCAAGGCAACGAGGCGUAGCCGACCUGCGAGGGGGAUCGGCCACACUGGGACUGAGACACGGCCCAGACUCCUACGGGAGGCAGCAGUAGGGAGUCUUCCGCAAUGGACGAAAGUCUGACGGAGCAACGCCGCGUGAGUGAUGAAGGCUUUCGGGUCGUAAAACUCUGUUGUUAGGGAAGAACAAGUGCUAGUUGAAUAAGCUGGCACCUUGACGGUACCUAACCAGAAAGCCACGGCUAACUACGUGCCAGCAGCCGCAGUAA
rnacentral:rRNA from 1 species